rnacentral:rRNA from 1 species
CCCUUAGACGUUCUGGGCCGCACGCGCGCUACACUGACCAGUGCAACAAGCAUCCGUCCUUGGCCGACAGGCCCGGGCAAUCUUUGAACGCUGGUCGUAUGGGGAUAGACUUUUGCAAUUUUUGGUCUUCAACGAGGAAUUCCUAGUAAACGCAAGUCAUCAACUUGCAUUGAUUACGUCCCUGCCCUUUGUACACACCGCCCGUCGCACCUACCGAUUGAAUGGUCCGGUGAAGCCUCCGGAUUGGCGCGCACCUCGGUGCCGCCGAGAAGUUGGCUAAACCUUACCAUUUAGAGGAAGGUGAAGUCGUAACA